rnacentral:rRNA from 1 species
UACUGCACCUGGGAGGGUGUGGGAGAGUAGGUCGCCGCCAACCACAAAACUUGAUAUUGGUGAGGGUGGGUGAAUGAGAACGUGUGUUUUCAUUCACCCACCCUCCCCUUUUUGCGUUUAU